CUCAAUCGUCCGGUCACCGUGGUCUCGCUCACCCCAUCGUCUCCGACCGCUUGACGAGCAGGGCCGUCGCCCGCUGUGUCAAUCAGCGCCAGCUCUCCGUCGCUGUAGCUCCGUCCGCGGCAGCACUCCGCCGCCAACCGUCCCUUGCGGGGAGUCAGCCGUCCUCCCCUUUCGAUCCUUCGUCAGGCGGCACCGCGGCACUGGAGUCGCCUCUGCCACUGACGGCCUCCGCCACCACUCGCAAACGGGCAGCUCCGCCCGCACAUCGUCGGUCAGCCGCCACACAAGCUAAGCUCUCCAUCCCUUCCCCUUUUUUCCUCUUUAUAAAAUUAGUUUUGGGUUCGAGCAGUAGCUAUGUUGGAGGCCUUUGAUUGUAGUAUCUAAAGUCGUGAUCUUUGGAGAAAAAUUUCUAUUUGUGUUCUAUUGUUUCACUGCAUUGAAUCCUAUUGUUUGCGUUCCAUUCUUAAGUUGUGAGUUUUUCUUAUUAUUUGUGAAGCUUAGCAGAUGCUUGCUCUUGACUAUUGCUGUGAGAGUCCUAUUGAAAUCUAAGUUCUUGUCUAGUUGAUGAGGUUGAUCUUAGAUUCUUACAUGAUGCAAGGGGGGAGUUUGGUUGUAUUAUUACUGAUCUUAUUAGGAAUGAAAGCCAUUUGAAAUUCUAGGUUGUGGUGUCUCUACAUAAAAAAAGGUGAUAAGGAGGGUUGUUAUGAUUUACCUGCUGUGGUGAAGGGAAAAAGUAGGGAGGUUCUUCUUGCUUGCUCGCUGCCUCUUCUUCUCCAGAAUUUCACCCUCGAGCUGAAAUUUUCAAAAUGUGCGUGGGAGGGGAAAAAUUUGAUGCCUAAGGAUGGGUCCUUAUAGAAAAGCUUGGUGUACUUGAGUGUAUUGAAUGAUGCUGCCACUUUCUUUGUUUCUUCCUACAUACAAUCCCCCUUUAUUGAUCCUCAUUGCCCUCCUUUUUCAUGGCUGUAGAAUGGCUCCAAAUGAUACCAAUUACUUGGUUAGUAAUUGGAAAUGUUUGCUUGUGGCAGGUACAAACAAGGAUGCAGGGUUUGACUUGCUCCUUUGCUGGGGAAAAAGCUUGGCUGCAAAAGCUGCUGCCCUGUUGCUGUUCGAGAGGGCCUGGGCCCGACGGGCCGGGUGGAUGGCCACGACUUGGGCUUGGGAAAAGAAGGCCCAAGGUGCAAGCAAAAUAAGAGUUUCUCUUUGGCCCAUUGGCGACAUUUUGUAAUAGAAUAGUACUCCACAUUUUCCUUCUCUUUCAUUUAUGUAAAUUAAAGUGUUAUUCGCGAGGUAUGCGAACUCUUUCGUUCGGGGAGAA